CCACUUCGGGAAGCGGAAUCGAGGGAGCGCGGCGGACGGCACACCCACGGCUUGUCUGCGUGAGUGGCUGCGUGGUGUUGCUCUGUGCCUUGCACACCGCUGUUCUCUUUCUUAGCUCGCUUUUCUUGGAAUCGGCGAAGUCUAGGCUGGCCAAUGGCUGGGUAGCCGGAAAGUUCGACGCGCCGCCGUGCCGCGCCUCUUCUCCAGCGAGGAACAUGGGUGCUGAAGCGGGAUGUGCACCUGCGGCCAGGAUGGACUCCGCAGUGUCAUCGCGGCGAGAGCGGGGCCGGCAGAUGAUGUGCGGGAGCAGCGGUGCUGCUCGGCCCGCGAGCAGUGCACUUGGAGCGGCUUCGCGUCUGACAGUGGCCAGCAGUGCCGAUGAGGGCGCUGCUGCCGCACCUGCACUGGCGCUUCAUGUCCACGAUUCCACUCGCGCGAGUUCGAGGCGCUGUAUUCGUAACGACGUCAGUUGAGUUGCCCAACCCCAAGCUCGCUUCUACCUACAGGAUCGAUGGCGUCGCUUCGCGCCCUUCUGCAGAGGGACGCAGCACACACAUCUCGCAGAACUCGGGUGGUACGGUGCCCGCGCGUGCGACGGCACACGGGGCUUUUCCUGCUCCUACACCGGCGCGCGCUGUGAGUGCGUGGGGCUGCUGCGUGAUGGCCGUUGGCGCGGGGUGGCGCCCCCCUGAUGUCUCCCCUCGUCCGCUGCUUCCCGUGGUGCGGCGGUGCCAAUAACGUUUCUUCACAUCCGCCUCCUUCAGCGAGUCCUCGACAACGGAGAGGACGACGACACACGAUUGCGCGUGCUUGGAGGUUGCAAUGCUGGAUGGCGCGACGACAGCGGCGGAGUCGCAGCCCAUACGGAGGGCGAGGCUGCGCCGUCGGAGGUGCCGCCUCCGCGGUCCUGAAGCGGCGGCCCGCAAACAAGAUGUUUCUUUUGAUGCGUGGGCUGAUAAUGCGUGUUGGCGCGUGCGUAUACCGAUGCACGGCCUAUUUGUAUGAGUGCAUUUAUGUGUCGGUGAUCCUUUACACGUGAGGCUACUUCUAUUUCUGUGUGUUUUGUUACGACCCCGUAUGUGUGUGUGCUUGUUCAUGGUGGACGGGGCCGUCCGCAGGUACAGAGACCACCUUAUCGUGGUGCUGCGGUCAAGCAAACCCUUUGGGGGAAGCUAAGAGUCUGUGCCGCUAGUGCUCGGGGGUCGUUUGCGGUACCUGGUAUGAGUGUCGACACUUCGCAGAAUUGGGUUGUUUCUCCUUACUGAGC
rnacentral:misc_RNA from 1 species